rnacentral:lncRNA from 1 species
GAACAGCAGCAAAUCAACAAAGGCAUGUCAAGGACGCCCUCACCUUCCUCUAUGAGGCUCCAAGCCCUAUUUCUGAUUUUCUAAUUGAGCAUGGUUACGCUUUUACUUCCUAUCCUUCUGUACGAUUUGAGGGUUUUCUAAACGAAAACAAAGAGCAGGAGCGAGUGAAUUCAACUCUGGGGCUGCUUUGAACUCUCGUCUCUGCCAAUUAACCCUCCCUGGGAAGGCUGAAGCGCCUCUUAGAAGUGGCAGGUGAGCAGCU